rnacentral:lncRNA from 1 species
UUACAUGCACGUGGCUUUAUAUAUAUAUAUAUAGAGAGAGAGAGAGAGAGAGAGUGAGGCUACUAUACUUCUAGAAGCACGAAGCCUUUCGUGCUUUCAAGUUGAUUUUCAUGUUGCAACUUUCGAAUCGUCGAUCGGCUCCGUUAAACUUAAUCUAGAGUAUUUGAAAUACUUAGGAAAUAAAUUUUAUGAUUUUUUGAUACUAUUUGCCUAAUGAAGGAAUGGGCUCAAAAUUAAUAAUUUUAAUGGCCAUAGUGAGCUAUUUGCAAGUUUAACGGUGUAGUCUCCUAUACUAUCUAUAGUAUCGGGGAUCCGGUACUAUAGUCUCAUUUUCGAUCUUAGGGUGUUCAAAUCAGCGGUCCACACCGUUAAAACUAAUUUAGGAUAUUUAAAAAUUUUAGAAAUAAAAUUUUAUAUUUUUUCAACAUAGUUUACUUUAUAAUCAAACCAUUUCAAAAUUGUCAAUUUUCAAUGGCUACUAUGACGAGUUUGGAGUUUAACGAUGUAGAAGAAUCUAAUUUUUUUCAAAUUUUGAUAGAAAAUACUUUAAACUAUAUAGAUUAAGGUUAACAUUCUCAAUCUUGAAUUUAAAAGUCCUAUGCUCAAAUUUUAAAGAAUAUUCAAUUUUCAACGUCCAUUUUGAUAUAAUUUAUUUACUAAGUAAACGAUGUAAAAAAAAAAUUAAAAUUUUAUUUCUAAGAACUUCAUAUAUUGUAGAUCAUAUUUAACGAUAUGGAUCAUUAAUUUGAACACCCUAAAAUUGAAAACAAGACUAUAUAUAGUACUGGAGCUCCGGUACUAUAGAUAGUAUAGUAGCCUAAUUAUAUAU